AUUGAACGCUGGCGGCAGGCCUAACACAUGCAAGUCGAGCGGAUGAAGGGAGCUUGCUCCUGGAUUCAGCGGCGGACGGGUGAGUAAUGCCUAGGAAUCUGCCUGGUAGUGGGGGAUAACGUCCGGAAACGGGCGCUAAUACCGCAUACGUCCUGAGGGAGAAAGUGGGGGAUCUUCGGACCUCACGCUAUCAGAUGAGCCUAGGUCGGAUUAGCUAGUUGGUGGGGUAAAAGCCUACCAAGGCGACGAUCCGUAACUGGUCUGAGAGGAUGAUCGGUCACACUGGAACUGAGACACGGUCCAGACUCCUACGGGAGGCAGCAGUGGGGAAUAUUGGACAAUGGGCGAAAGCCUGAUCCAGCCAUGCCGCGUGUGUGAAGAAGGUCUUCGGAUUGUAAAGCACUUUAAGUUGGGAGGAAGGGCAGUAAGUUAAUACCUUGCUGUUUUGACGUUACCAACAGAAUAAGCACCGGCUAACUUCGUG
rnacentral:rRNA from 1 species